UGGAACUCUUUCACACCCGAUAUACUUACAAAUACGUACAACAGAGGGCCUGGCUUGUUAGUGGAAUUCUUGUGCUUUGGACCAAGUCGAAUUAGGAAGAAGUAAAUAAUGGGAUGAAGUUUUACCAAAAAAGAAAGAAAAAAAGAAGUUGGACUGGUCGGAAAGAGUAAUUUGUUAUUUCAUCUGUUCCUAAACUAGCGGGAAGUCCUUCGGUCGGGUGUCGUAUG
rnacentral:lncRNA from 1 species